AUUGAACGCUGGCGGCAGGCCUAACACAUGCAAGUCGAGCGGAUGAACGGAGCGCUCGCCUGGAUUCAGCGGCGGGCGGGCGAGUAAUGCCCAGGUAUCUGCCUGGUAUUUGGGGAUAAGGUCCGUAAACGGGCGCGAAGAUCGCAUACGACCAUAUGUAGAAAGUGGGGGAUCUUUAGACCUCACGCUAUUUGAUGAGCCUAGGUCGGAUUAGCGAGUCGGUGUGGUAACUGCCUACCAAGGCGACGAUCCGUAACAGACCUGAGAGGAUGAUCUGCCACACUGGAACUGAGACACGGUCCAGACUCCUACGGGAGGCAGCAGUGGGGAAUAUUGGGCAAUGGGCGAAAGCCUGAUGCAGCCAUGCCGCGUGUGUGAAGAAGGUCUUCGGAUUGUAAAGCUCUUUAAGUUGGGAGGAAGAACAGUAUGUUAAUCCAUUCCUGUUUUGACGUUACCAACAGAAUAAGCCCCGGCUAACUUCGUG
rnacentral:rRNA from 1 species